rnacentral:rRNA from 1 species
AUUGUCCUACGGGGGGCAGCAGUGGGGGAUAUUGCACAAUGGGGGAAACCCUGAUGCAGCGACGCCGCGUGAGUGAAGAAGUAUUUCGGUAUGUAAAGCUCUAUCAGCAGGGAAGAAAAAAGACGGUACCUGACUAAGAAGCCCCGGCUAACUACGUGCCAGCAGCCGCGGUAAUAUGUAUGGAGCAAGCGUUAUCCGGAUUUACUGGGUGUAAAGGGAGCGCAGGCGGUCUGGCAAGUCUGAUGUGAAAUACCGGGGCUCAACUCCGGGACUGCAUUGGAAACUGUCAG